GUGGAUUAGAUACCCUAGUAGUCCACGCCGUAAACGAUGUCAACUAGUUGUUGGGUUCCUUGAGAACUUAGUAACGAAGCUAACGCGAUAAGUUGACCGCCUGGGGAGUACGGCCGCAAGGUUAAAACUCAAAUGAAUUGACGGGGGCCCGCACAAGCGGUGGAGCAUGUGGUUUAAUUCGAAGCAACGCGAAGAACCUUACCUGGCCUUGACAUGCUGAGAACUUUCCAGAGAUGGAUUGGUGCCUUCGGGAACUCAGACACAGGUGCUGCACGGCCGUCGCCAACU
rnacentral:rRNA from 1 species